rnacentral:tRNA from 2 species
CGAAAUUGUAGUUUAAAAAAUACUAGCAUUGGAAGCUAGAGAUUAGGUAAUAAAUCCUACGUUUCGA